rnacentral:lncRNA from 1 species
GGUUAAGCAAUUGAGCUUAUGAAAUCUCAAUUGGAUUGAGAAAAGUCCUAUUGGGUUCAGGAUAAUCUUGCUAGCACAAGAUUGAACCAAAUUUUCUCUUGCUACUUGAAUUUUUUAUUUAAUAAGAUUAAUUUAAAUUAAUUAUCUACUAAUAAUGUAAAUAAAUUAGAUUCAUUGGACUCUAAUUGUUGGAGGCCUAGGAUUUUGGAUCAUAUGCAUUAGGGGUUCAAACUCCUGGUCAAUUCCUUGAUUGUAUUUCAUGGGGUGCUACUUGAUUUGAUUAAGUUGGGUGUGCUCACUUGGAGAUGGUGUGUUGGACUAAGGUAGGGUGCCACCUAUCCUUUGAUUGGUGUGUGGAAGAAUGCCCUAGAGAGUGCCAACCUUUAGAUCUCCUAUGCAUGGUCAAAGUAGUAGGACUAUAAGGAGUCCUAAUGUGAUUAAGACUUAUAUAAAGGGGCUGAUUUGAUUUGUAUUAGGAGUUCAAUGGCUCCUCUAUUUAAAGGACCCUUCCCUAAAGGUCU